rnacentral:rRNA from 1 species
UACGUAGGGUGCAGGCGUUAAUCGGAAUUACUGGGCGUAAAGCGUGCGCAGGCGGUCUUUUAAGCCAGAUGUGAAAUCCCCGGGCUUAACCUGGGAACUGCGUUUGAAACUGAAAGGCUAGAGUGUGGCAGAGGGGGGUGGAAUUCCACGUGUAGCAGUGAAAUGCGUAGAGAUGUGGAGGAACACCGAUGGCGAAGGCAGCCCCCUGGGCUAACACUGACGCUCAUGCACGAAAGCGUGGGGAGCAAACAGG